AGACGACUUCCUAGACGACUUACAUUUCAGUCGUAUGUUGAAGAAAUUAAAACAGACGACUUACAUGUAAGUCGUCCAGAAGAGUUUAAUAUUUUUAGUGGGAAAUUAAAUAUUUUUAGCGGAAAACUAAAAUAGAAGACUUUCCAAACGACUUACAAGUAAAAUUAAAUAUUUUAGUACGUCAAUGGUUUAAAUUAUUUAAGCGGGAAAAUAAUUUUUUAAAAAAAAAUUAGCGGGAAUAUUUGGACGACUUACAUGUAAGUCGUCUGUUUUAAAUUCUUCACCAGACGACUGAAAUGUAAGUCGUCCGAG
rnacentral:lncRNA from 1 species